rnacentral:rRNA from 1 species
CCUACGGGAGGCAGCAGUGGGGAAUAUUGGGCAAUGGACGCAAGUCUGACCCAGCCAUGCCGCGUGAGUGAUGAAGGCCUUAGGGUUGUAAAGCUCUUUUAGUAGUGAAGAUGAUGACAGUAGCUACAGAAAAAGCCCCGGCUAACUUCGUGCCAGCAGCCGCGGUAAU